AGAUGGCGACCGGCGCACGGGUGAGUAACACGUAUCCAACCUGCCGAUAACUCGGGGAUAGCCUUUCGAAAGAAAGAUUAAUACCCGAUGGUAUAAUCAGACCGCAUGGUCUUGUUAUUAAAGAAUUUCGGUUAUCGAUGGGGAUGCGUUCCAUUAGGCAGUUGGUGAGGUAACGGCUCACCAAACCUUCGAUGGAUCGGGGUUCUGAGAGGAAGGUCCCCCACAUUGGAACUGAGACACGGUCCAA
rnacentral:rRNA from 1 species